AUUUCAGUCAGAUCAUUACCUCAUGCUUGGCGUGCACAUGUUCCUGAUACAAAAGAAGUCCCACUGAUUUUAAAUCGGCUUGUCUCUACCGCCACCUACAGCCUGGUGCCCAAAUGUCAAAAAUAAGGCCACAUCAGUGUGUUAUUAUGCAUCUCACUGAGCUGCUAAUUGCUCCAGAUGAGCAGGCUGGCACCUUACCUAGCAGCCCCCCCGCCUGGACCAUGCAGCCUUUCUGUGCGUGUGGAUGGACCAAUGAGGAAAAAGUGCUUUGAGAGCAGUCAAGAGCACCACGUCGGGCAGCCAGAUGUGUUUGGAAGGCAGCCUGACCUUCAGCAUGCCGUCAAACUCCUCCGGGACCCAAGUCAGGCGAUAGUCCUGCCACUCCUGUGGGCCAGAAAAAAACCCCAUCAGCACCAGGAAAACAUACUGAGCGGAAAGAGUCUGUCGCUCUGUCUUUAAAUCAGCAUGCAGGCGAGGAACAAACUGUCCUCCCCCACAACUUUUACAAGAGAGAUUUGAUCCUGAAUGGCUUCUAAAAGCAAUCAGCUUGAUUAAGAUGACUGCAUGUGUUGACACAUCCAUGCCCGACAUGUAACCUAGUGUAAAAAGGCGCGCCUUCUAUAUCUCCUUUUUGUCAUGUUUGGAAUCCGUCAAAACUGGCCUUGUGUGUGUCUAGCAUAUUAGAGCGGCAGCCUCCAUGCUGGUGCAGUAUCUGUGUUGAUGCAUGGCCGCCAUGGCGCUCAUCACCAUCCGUCCCUGCUGCCGCGACAAGUCCCCUCGCUGCCUGAUCCACAGAGCACUGAUAGCCAUUCUAGUCUUGCUUACACGUUGUAAAUCCUUCCCUAUCUCGUCUGCAAUUGUGUGCAGGCGC